CAGCCGCCGCGGUAAUACGAAGGGUGCAAGCGUUAAUCGGAAUUACUGGGCGUAAAGCGUGCGUAGGCGGUGAGUUAAGUCUGCUGUGAAAUCCCCGGGCUCAACCUGGGAAUGGCAGUGGAUACUGGCUCGCUAGAGUGUGUCAGAGGAUGGUGGAAUUCCCGGUGUAGCGGUGAAAUGCGUGGAGAUCGGGAGGAACACCAGUGGCGAAGGCGGCCAUCUGGGACAACACUGACGCUGAGGCACGAAAGCGUGGGGAGCAAACAGGAUUAGAUACCCCAGUAGUCCCUGUCUCUUAUAC
rnacentral:rRNA from 1 species